CAGCCGUAAACUAUGCGCGUUAGGUGUACUGGUGACCACGAGUCACCGGGGUGCCGAAGGGAAACCGUGAAACGUGCCGCCUGGGAAGUACGGUCGCAAGGUUGAAACUUAAAGGAAUUGGCGGGGGAGCACCACAACGGGUGGAGCCUGCGGUUUAAUUGGACUCAACGCCGGAAAUCUCACCGGAUAGGACAGACAUAUGAUAGUCGGGCUGAAGACUCUACUUGAUGAUCUGAGAGGAGGUGCAUGGCGUCAGUGACU
rnacentral:rRNA from 1 species